GAGCUUUUGAAGGAAUUCUAGAAGUAGGAAUGGGGCUGAUUCUCAGUUUUAGAUACCUUUAUUUUCUAACCUUCCAGGAAUGAUUAGGGGACAUUUUCAUUCUGGUUUAAUUCACUAGAGAGAGAUUUAUAAACAGAUGGGUAACUUAAGCCGGAAGACACAUCUUCCAUUGAAAAUAACUUUGCAAGUCAGAGCCUCUCUUCUUCGGAGCUGGGAAAUCAACUUGGUGAACCAAUGAAGAUGAAUGGAGUGCUCAAUAAGAAAGCUGCAAGGAAGGUUUUGCUUAAUCACUGGAGAUAUCGGGAUAUGUAAGACAAGAUGUACCCGCUUGAGGAGCACACAGUUGAUUGCCAAGAUGGACACAUCUAUUGCACCUGAGCACCUGAGCAGGACUAGGACAGAGGCAAGCGGAGACAGGAGGAGGACGACUGCCUCAGACCCGACGGAGGACCAGCAGGGCCAGACCCAUGGGAGAGUGAGGAGCUGGUGUUAACUGUGGGAUUCACUGUGGCAUCCUACCCCAAAGGCAAAGAAGAUGAAAAUGCAGCAUGAAGAGCUCGGCUUGAUUCCCAAGUCGCAGUCUGGCUCCUGCU